UACGUAGGGUGCGAGCGUUGUCCGGAAUUACUGGGCGUAAAGAGCUCGUAGGUGGUUUGUCGCGUUGUCCGUGAAAACUCACAGCUCAACUGUGGGCGUGCGGGCGAUACGGGCAGACUGGAGUACUGCAGGGGAGACUGGAAUUCCUGGUGUAGCGGUGGAAUGCGCAGAUAUCAGGAGGAACACCGGUGGCGAAGGCGGGUCUCUGGGCAGUAACUGACGCUGAGGCGCGAAAGCGUGGGGAGCAAACAGG
rnacentral:rRNA from 1 species